AACUUAGAUUAUCUUCGGAUUCUCUGUCUCCAAUUCCUUUUUUCAACAACCGUAAAAGGUCGUCACGAUAAGCCCCACUUCCAGACAAGGUAACUGGAAAGGAAAGUGCUUUGCCCGACACUACAAAGCCAGUGAACGGAAGAGAGAGGGAAAGUAACCUGUGGAGUGUCACCGGGAUCGGACUCAGGCAGUCUGUCUCCAGAAAAGGCACUUUGAAUCAUCAUGAAAAUUGGGAUGUAUCAUAAUGAUAUUACCAUAUGAUCAGUAAACUUAGAAACAUGCAGACUCUACUGACCGAUGCGUAUGGAACAAAUUAUAUGCCAAUUCAAAAAUAAUGAAUAAUUAGAUUGUUCAGUUUCAUGCUACACAUAGGUGGUUCUGAAGCUACACUGCCUUUUUCCAUCGACUGGCCGGGAAUUGACUGGCAACAGAAG